AGUGAACGCUGGCGGUAGGCCUAACACAUGCAAGUCGAACGGCAGCACAGGAGAGCUUGCUCUCUGGGUGGCGAGUGGCGGACGGGUGAGGAAUACAUCGGAAUCUACUCUGUCGUGGGGGAUAACGUAGGGAAACUUACGCUAAUACCGCGUACGACCUACGGGUGAAAGCAGGGGACCUUCGGGCCUUGCGCGAUUGAAUGAGCCGAUGUCGGAUUAGCUAGUUGGCGGGGUAAAGGCCCACCAAGGCGACGAUCCGUAGCUGGUCUGGGAUGAGGAUCAGCCACAAUGGAACUGAGACACGGUCCAGACUCCUACGGGAGGCAGCAGUGGGGAAUAUUGGACAAUGGGCGCAAGCCUGAUCCAGCCAUACCGCGUGGGUGAAGAAGGCCUUCGGGUUGUAAAGCCCUUUUGUUGGGAAAGAAAUCCAGCUGGCUAAUACCCGGUUGGGAUGACGGUACCCAAAGAAUAAGCACCGGCUAACUUCGUGCCAGCCGCCGCAGUAA
rnacentral:rRNA from 1 species